rnacentral:rRNA from 1 species
AUGGCGAAAUGCUGGCUGAUGCUCCUCUUCUUGGUGUUUCUCCUGCCGGCGACGAGCGCGACGUCGUGCCACGCCGACGACCUCCGCGCACUGCGGGACUUCGCCCGGAACCUCACCGGCGGUGGCGUCAUCCUCCGCGCAGCGUGGUCCGGCACCUGGUGUUGCAGAUGGGAAGGUGUGGGCUGCGACGGCAGAAGUGGACGCGUCACAACGCUGCGGCUUCCCGGACGCGGCCUUGCAGGACCCAUCGCUGGAGCAUCCUUGGCGGGCUUGGCGCGGCUAGAGGAGCUCAACCUUGCCAACAACAGACUGAUCGGCACAUUCCCAUCGUGGAUUGGUGAGCUUGAACACCUUCGUUACUUGGAUCUCUCAGAUAAUUCAUUAAUUGGCGAGGUACCCAAAAGUUUGAUACGGUUCAAGGACAUCACCAUCGCUGGUCGCUCACUGGGUAAGGCUUUCACUAACAUGCCAUUAUAUGUGAAGAGUAACAGAAGAACACUCCAACAACAACCUCAACCAAAUACAAUAUCUGGGACCAACAAUACCGUCAGAUCUGGGAGCACCAAUGUUGUUUCUGGGAAUGACAACACUGUCAUAUCCGGGAACAACAACAAUGUGUCCGGGAGUAACAACACUAUCGUAACCGGUAGUGACAAUACCGUAGUUGGAAGCAACCAUGUCGUAUCUGGGAACAAACAUGUCGUAACUGACAACAACAAUGCCGUAUCCGGAAACGACAAUAAUGUAUCCGGGAGCUUCCAUACCGUAUCCGGGAGCCGCAAUACUGUAUCUGGGAGCAACAAUACCGUAUCUGGAAGCAACCACGUCGUGUCUGGGAGCAACAAAGUCGUAACAGGAGAUGAAUGA